rnacentral:siRNA from 1 species
UGCUGGAGUGUUGAGGUGUCA